rnacentral:rRNA from 1 species
UAGGGAAUCUUCGGCAAUGGACGAAAGUCUGACCGAGCAACGCCGCGUGAGUGAAGAAGGUUUUCGGAUCGUAAAACUCUGUUGUUAGAGAAGAACAAGGACGUUAGUAACUGAACGUCCCCUGACGGUAUCUAACCAGAAAGCCACGGCUAACUACGUGCCAGCAGCCGCGGUAAUACGUAGGUGGCAAGCGUUGUCCGGAUUUAUUGGGCGUAACGCGAGCGCAGGCGGUUUCUUAAGUCUGAUGUGAAAGCCCCCGGCUCAACCGGGGAGGGUCAUUGGAAACUGGGAGACUUGAGUGCAGAAGAGGAGAGUGGAAUUCCAUGUGUAGCGGUGAAAUGCGUAGAUAUAUGGAGGAACACCAGUGGCGAAGGCGGCUCUCUGGUCUGUAACUGACGCUGAGGCUCGAAAGCGUGGGGAGCAAACAGG